GACAGUUUGGCCGAGUGGUCUAAGGCGCUGGCUUCAGGCGUCAGUCCGCAAGGGCGUGGGUUCAAAUCCCACAGCUGUUA
rnacentral:tRNA from 1 species